rnacentral:rRNA from 1 species
AUUGAACGCUGGCGGCAUGCCUUACACAUGCAAGUCGAACGGCAGCACGGGUGCUUGCACCUGGUGGCGAGUGGCGAACGGGUGAGUAAUACAUCGGAACGUACCUUAUCGUGGGGGAUAACGCAGCGAAAGCUGUGCUAAUACCGCAUACGCCCUGAGGGGGAAAGCGGGGGAUUGCAAGACCUCGCGCGAUUAGAGCGGCCGAUGCCUGAUUAGCUAGUUGGUGGGGGAAAAGCCCACCAAGGCGACGAUCAGUAGCUGGUCUGAGAGGACGAUCAGCCACACUGGGACUGAGACACGGCCCAGACUCCUACGGGAGGCAGCAGUGGGGAAUUUUGGACAAUGGGGGCAACCCUGAUCCAGCAAUGCCGCGUGAGUGAAGAAGGCCUUCGGGUUGUAAAGCUCUUUUGUCAGGGAAGAAACACCGGCUCUAACACAGUCCGGGAAUGACGGUACCUGAAGAAUAAGCACCGGCUAACUACGUGCCAGCAGCCGCGGUAA